UAUUAUGUACAUGCCUACAAUGUUAAUUCACUAGAUAUCAUCAAAACUCCACAGUUAAUAUCGCUUGGGAUAGAUUGGUACUCGGAUGGGUGACCUCCCAAGAAGUCCUGGUGUUUUACUUG
rnacentral:rRNA from 1 species